CCUACGGGUGGCAGCAGUGAGGAAUAUUGGUCAAUGGGCGAGAGCCUGAACCAGCCAAGUAGCGUGAAGGAUGACGGCCCUAUGGGUUGUAAACUUCUUUUAUAUGGGAAUAAAAUGUUCCACGUGUGGGAUUUUGUAUGUACCAUAUGAAUAAGGCUCGGCUAACUCCGGGCCAGCAGCCGCGGUAAUACGGAGGGUCCGAUCGUUAACCGGAUUUAUUGGGUUUAAAGGGAGCGUAGGUGGAUUGUUAAGUCAGUUGUGAAAGUUUGCGGCUCCACCGUAAAAUUGCAGUUGAAACUGGCAGUCUUGAGUACAGUAGAGGUGGGCGGAAUUCGUGGUGUAGCGGUGAAAUGCUUAGAUAUCACGCAGAACUCCGAUUGCGAAGGCAGUUCACUGGACUGCAACUGACACUGAGGCUCGAAAGUGUGGGUAUCAAACAGGAUUAGAUACCCGGGUAGUC
rnacentral:rRNA from 1 species